rnacentral:rRNA from 1 species
UACGUAGGGGGCAAGCGUUGUCCGGAAUCAUUGGGCGUAAAGCGCGUGUAGGCGGUCCGGUAAGUCCGCUGUGAAAGUCCAGGGCUCAACCCUGGGAUGCCGGUGGAUACUGUCGGGCUAGAGUACGGAAGAGGCGAGUGGAAUUCCCGGUGUAGCGGUGAAAUGCGGCAGAUAUCGGGAGGAACACCAAUUGCGAAGGCAGCUCGCUGGGACGUUACUGACGCUGAGACGCGAAAGCGUGGGGAGCGAACAGG